AGAGUUUGAUCAUGGCUCAGAACGAACGCUGGCGGCGUGCCUAACACAUGCAAGUCGAGCGAGAAAAGGACCUUCGGGUCCCUAUUAAAGCGGCGGACGGGUGAGUAACACGUGAGUAACGUACCUCGGAGUGGGGGAUAACUACCCGAAAGGGUAGCUAAUACCGCAUGAGACCACAGACUCUUCGGAGAUAGGGGUCAAAGCAUUCGGGCGCUCUGAGAUCGGCUCGCGGACCAUUAGGUAGUAGGUGAGGUAAUGGCUCACCUAGCCUGUGAUGGUUAGCUGGUCUGAGAGGAUGAUCAGCCACACUGGGACUGAGACACGGCCCAGACUCCUACGGGAGGAAGCAGUGGGGAAUCUUGCGCAAUGGGCGAAAGCCUGACGCAGCAACGCCGCGUGUGUGAUGAAGGCCCUCGGGUCGUAAAGCACUGUCAGGAGGGAAGAAGAUCUGACGGUACCUCCAAAGGAAGCACCGGCUAACUCCGUGCCAGCAGCCGCGGUAAUACGGAGGGUGCAAGCGUUGUUCGGAAUUAUUGGGCGUAAAGCGCGCGCAGGUGGCUAACCAAGUCUGGUGUGAAAGCCCGGGGCUCAACCUCGGAACUGCAUUGGAAACUAGUUGGCUUGAGUCCGAGAGGGGUUAGUGGAAUUCCUGGUGUAGGGGUGAAAUCCCUAGAGAUCAGGAGGAACACCGGUGGC
rnacentral:rRNA from 1 species